ACAGCCACAAUUCUUAAGUUCAUAGACACCUAAUAGAAUUACCUUUAUAUAUGUAAAUCUGAGUUUACUUGUUUACCAUAGAAGUUCCUUAUCAAACUUGCAUAGAUCUUUGCAGACCUCACUUUUUAAAAUUUCCACUUUAUAUAGAUAAAUGUUGAAUUAGAAAAAUUUUACAAAACUGUUACAUUUCUCCAGUUCUAAUUUUGUCUGCAUUUGUUAAUACAACGUUUUUGUUAAUAUACUAGGUGUGUGUUGCAUUCUAAUCAUUAUAUUUUACCUAAAGUUAGUUAUUAAUAUCAAAGACAGUGUUGUCAAUUUAAUGGGUAAAGAUCACAAAAGUAUUUGAGCGCAGCUAUAUCCUGUAUAUAAUCUAAAUGUUUUUAUAAAAUUCUAAUAGGCUAUGUAUACAGACUAUAUAUAUGGUCAAGAUGUAAAUUAGAACAAUAAGGUAAUAGGCUAAUAAUAAUGUUUGACUAAUAAUAUUCUGGAACCUCAGAUUAUUUCAUACUUUAAUCCUCCUUCGUAAAUAUCUACUUGUAAAAACAGCAGUUAUUUUGCAUGAUGGUGCCGGUUCCAAGGACAGUUCCUAAAUGACUUAAGAAUGAGAAAUGUUAUCUUUUAGUUUUUUUUAUUUAAUGUAUAAAGUUUUAGCUUCUAUGCUUUCAUUGCUGAUUUCAAUAUGU